rnacentral:rRNA from 1 species
CGCGGCCUAUCAGCUUGUUGGUGGGGUAAUGGCCUACCAAGGCGACGACGGGUAGCCGGCCUGAGAGGGCGACCGGCCACACUGGGACUGAGACACGGCCCAGACUCCUACGGGAGGCAGCAGUGGGGAAUAUUGCACAAUGGGCGAAAGCCUGAUGCAGCGACGCCGCGUGAGGGAUGACGGCCUUCGGGUUGUAAACCUCUUUCAGCAGGGAAGAAGCGAAAGUGACGGUACCUGCAGAAGAAGCGCCGGCUAACUACGUGCCAGCAGCCGCGGUAAUACGUAGGGCGCAAGCGUUAUCCGGAAUUAUUGGGCGUAAAGAGCUCGUAGGCGGUUUGUCGCGUCUGCUGUGAAAGACCGGGGCUCAACUCCGGUUCUGCAGUGGGUACGGGCAGACUAGAGUGCAGUAGGGGAGACUGGAAUUCCUGGUGUAGCGGUGAAAUGCGCAGAUAUCAGGAGGAACACCGAUGGCGAAGGCAGGUCUCUGGGCUGUAACUGACGCUGAGGAGCGAAAGCAUGGGGAGCGAACAGGAUUAGAUACCCUGGUAGUCCAUGCCGUAAACGUUGGGCACUAGGUGUGGGGGACAUUCCACGUUUUCCGCGCCGUAGCUAACGCAUUAAGUGCCCCGCCUGGGGAGUACGG